GUGGCUGUGGCUCAGUGGUAGAGCGCUUGCCUAGCAUGUGUGAGGCACUGGGUUCAAUUCUCAGCACCACA
rnacentral:tRNA from 1 species